rnacentral:rRNA from 1 species
AUACUUCUUCGGACAAUAUACAAGGUGCUGCAUGGUUGUCGUCAGCUCGUGCCGUGAGGUGUUGGGUUAAGUCCCGCAACGAGCGCAACCCCUAUCUUUAGUUGCCAUCAGUUCGGCUGGGCACUCUAUGGAGACUGCCACCUAAAGUGGAGGAAGGUGGGGAUGACGUCAAGUCAGCAUGGCCCUUACGUCCGGGGCUACACACGUGCUACAAUGGCCGGUACAAAGGGUUGCGAAGCCGUGAGGUGGAGCGAAUCUCAAAAAGCCGGCCUCAGUUCGGAUUGGAGGCUGCAACUCGCCUCCAUGAAGUCGGAAUCGCUAGUAACCGCAGAUCAGCUACGUUGCGGUGAAUACGUUCCGGGCCUU